GGGACCGAGGGCGCCGCUCCAGACGCUCAGGCUCAGCGGCCGUGGCUCACGGGCCCAGCCGCUCCGCGGCAUGUGAGAUCUUCCCGGACGGGGGCACGAACCCGUGUCCCCUUCAUCGGCAGGCAGACUCUCAACCACUGCGCCACCAGGGAAGCCCAGUCAUUAAAUAUUUGUUGAGCAUUGGCUUGAUACUAGAUUCUGGAGCUAAAGAGAAGAAAAAGCCAUUUCCCUGUACUUGAGAUGCUUUUGUUUUCCUGGGGCAAUAGACGCAUAAACAGGUAUUUAAAAUGCGCUGUGGUCAAUGCUUAAUAGAGAAAGGAGCUGGAUCAGGUUGGGAACAGGGAAAGACGGCACUUGAAGAAGAAACUUGGAAAGGUGAGGAUUUGAAGAAGGGCAUGUUUGAAGACUGUUUCCAUGUGGCUGGAGUUCUGGGUGAGUAGGUGGACCAAGAUGAUAUGAGACUGGAGGGAUUGGUCAGAGCUGAUGUGAAGGGCCCUUGGAUGGUGUGCUGAGGUUUGGGGCUUUUUCUUACAGGGAACAGGGGAUGAUGGAGGCCUUGUCAUAAACACUUGACAUUAAAAAAAAAAAAUUAUUGUGGUGGCAGCAUGAGGGAUAUAUGCAAUCAGGAGGAACCAGACACCAGAAUACCACCUAGAGCAUUGCAGUAGUUCAAGGCAGAGACGAUAAAGGUAUAAAUGAAGGUGGCACAGCAUCUUGGAAAGACUUUGAGAAGCAGCGAAAAGGAGGGAUGACCCUGAGAAACAUAGACUGUAAGGGGCAGCCAGAGGGAGGGGAGCCUGCCACGGAGACAAAACAGAAAUGGUCAGAGAGGCAGAAGGAAAAGCAAACUGCUGUCUUAGAAUCCAAAGGGGAAGAAAGUGCUGAGGGGUUGAAAACAGUUCCAAAGAGAGGUUAGAAAGUGGUUUUAAAAUAGCUUAAAAAAAUCACGAAGUCUUAAAAAUGGGCCUUUGGUGACCAAUGUGAAGGCAAAAGCAAGGAGAAAGAUCACCUCGUUUUGAGCAGCUCACACAUCAUUAUAGCAUCAGUUAAUACAAGACAGUGUUGAGUAUGCUAAAGUAAUGUGAAGAAUUAGAUUAGAUUUGAUUCUAGAAUGGUUUGAUAUCAUUGCUUAAGCUUUGUGUAUGUUAUAUAGUUUGGAGGAUACAAUAAUAAUAGUUAACAUCUGUUAUGUGUCAGGCCCUGUUCUUAGUUCUUUACGUAUGUCAUUUCAGUUAAUCCUCAAUUACUGUAUGAUGUAGGUCCUACUAUACCCACAUUUUAAAUAAUAAGCCUUGUUAUGUGCCUUGUAUGAGAACAAGUACCCCAUUUUACUUUACUUUUUGUUGUCUUUCUUGACUUUACUCUUAGGCCUCUCUGGCAGAAAUACUUGUGGAAAGUAUGUUGUUGAAUGUAGAAAAAACUCCCAUCUAAACUGCAGGCCGGUGAUGAAACAUGGUUGAGAAGCAUGCGAAUGAGUCCAGCCAAACGAGCUGAGCUGGUUAUUAGGAGAUGUAAAAGCGUGCCGAGUUGAAAAUCCCCAUGACUUUGGUUGAAUCCUCUUCCCUCCAAAAGAAGAGAAAGGGUGGAGCAGAGCAGGUGCUGCACUUCGAGAAGAGGUAGUUGAGUGAUAAUGUUAAGAAUCAGCAGUAACUGUCGGCAGCAAGAGGUCGCGUCGACAUUUUCUUGCCCUGUGAGUCAGCGAAAGUGGGAGAAAGAGCAGAUACCACUGGACAAGCGUUUGAGGAAAGUGGCAUCAUCUUUGAGAAAGCUAGGUUUUAGCCAGGGCUGAGACGUGCAAAGAUCUUGUAGCAAAGUAAAAAAUACCGGGAAGUUUGGUUGCAUGUUCCAAGGGACACAGUGGCAGGGGUUUGUGAAGGGAAGACGAGUGAGUUCAGGGGGCUCGGGGCCCGAGCAGGUAACAGUAGCAGAGGAGUGCAUGGGGCAGAGAAGUUAAUUCUCUCCUUUUUGCCCUCAUGCAACCUAUGUGCCCUUCGCCAUAACCUCUAGCACUCAGUUGUGUUGAUCUGUGGCCACAUCUAUCUGUUUCUCUCCCACAAGCUCCUACAGUCAGGGGCGAUGUCUCACACAUUAUCAUAUCUGUACCUUGCACAUAGAAGGCACUCAAUAAAUGUUUAUUAAAUGAAAAGUGGGGGAAAAAUGGAUGAAUGGAUACUUGUGCCUAAUAGGUGAGACUGACUAAUAUGGUUGGGAAAUAGGCUGGAGGUAGAUAUGGGCGAUCCAAGAUAACUUAUUUGGAGACGUUUCCAGAAGCACCCUCCUGGGCCUGGAGCCCAACCUGAAAGCUCAGGACGGUAAGCCAAGGCCCUAAAUCCUUGUCUGGUUACAGUUAUGCCCUUUCCCCCAGGGCUAGACUCAACAAAAACUGGCAUCCCACCGCAAAGUCUACAGUUCUGACAACCUCUAACAUCAGGAGUGUGUGUGUGUGUGUGUGAUGUGCCCAGCCUUCCUCUCCCCCGCCAGCUACCAAUUCUGGCCAGGCCCACUUGGCCUCUCUCCCUCCCAGCCUCUGUGGCCACUUCUUCUCAGCCAGAUGGAUUCUGCAGAGCUUUGAAAUCAGAAUGGGGGGAUUUGGAGAGGGGCUGGCGGCAAGGGUCGGUGGUGAUGGUUUUCCCUCCGCGUUCAGGGUAGAAGAAUGAGGGCCCCAUUGUCUGAGAGAUAUGGGAGGGAAAGUAAUUCAAUGGGUGUGGAAAGUUUGUAAGACAUAUUCUCUUCAAGUUACCUAAAACUUAGAAUGUUGUAUUAAGUGUAAAUUUCAGAAAUUGCUCCCCUACAAGGUUUGGCAAUAGAGUACAAAUCUCGACUAGGAAGCAAGUUACUGUGUUUCAGAGGACCUGAAAAGAAUCUACAAAUUAUAAAGAGUACAUCCAGAUCCUUUUUAAACUAUCUGAAUUCUUACAGUGUUGGGAAAGGUUCAAUGUGCUUAAUUUAAGAUAAAUCCUAUUUACACAUUUUUCUUUGCAAGUCCCUUUAUAAGUGUUAAGAGAUGGAGGAAUACAUUACAUCGAGUUUAUUUGACAGACGCUUCUCUUUAACCCUAAGAGAUGUUUCAUAUUUCUUCUGAAGUACUUUGCUGACUAUGAUUUCAGUUGGAGCUGCUUUUAAAAGAGUGUCCUCUGAUUAUGAAAAGCUGGGUUUUGGUAGUACUUACUAAAGUUGACUCUUUUGAAUCCAGGAGUUUUGUUUUACAUCUGCGUUGCAUCAGACACAGCUGAGGUUAGCGUUCCAUUUUUCCAUGCUUUCAUAGCCCUGUUUCAGGUCUGUGUUUUUAGGAAGCGGUUUGUAUUUUCAGCAUAGAGGGUCUUUAUUCAUUUGCCUGUGGAGCAUGCAUCUUGUAGAUUAUAUGCAAUGAAUUUUAAAUUCUAGACCUGUUUCUUUCACCCUUCAUUUGCCAGCCCACGUGUAGGAGCAUAGAAUCAUUUUAAUAUUAACUAAAAAUUUAAUUCAGAAGGCAUAUCUGCCAGAAACAUUGUACAGUGCCUUACAAAGCCUAGUAUAUUAUAGCCAUAUGCUUGUUGUUUUCUACUUGGACGCUGUUUUUGAAUACUAGUGUCAGUGUUCCCCUCCACUGGCAUGAAUAAUUGAGAGGGGAAGUUUUUGUAUUUUUGAAAAUUCAAAAAUUUAUUCCUUGAAGACAAAGACUUGAGAGAAAAUUUGCCUAUAUUCAAAGCACACUAGAAGGUUAUCUCAGAAGCAAUUUACAUUAAUCUUAUUUGGAAUCAGAAAGCUGAAAAAGACAGCCUAAGUCACUCUGAUUGUAUGAUUGGUUUAUUUCACUGUUUUUCUUUCUGGAAGCAAUGCAUGCUCACUGCAGAAAAUUAGAAAACAACAAAAGGCAAAAAGAAGGGAAUGGAGAGCAGAGAUAACCACUGUGAAUGCACCAGAUCUGAGACAUUCUUUUAUAUGACAGAAUAUAUCUAUUUAUCAUUUUGAAGAAAAUUGAGUGACUCCAUUUUCUAAGUGAGCUGGGAAGUUUUCUCUUGGCUUUUUUCAUGACCAUGUUAUUACUUAGUAAAAUAUGUCAUUUUGAAGCCUUAGAAAACACCCUUCCUUUACUUCUUCAAGAGUGGUGAAUUACACGUAGGCUAUUUACUCAACAUUUUUCAUCCUGUCAGCAUGGUUGGAUGCCAAAUGGCUGUUCUGAUUUUUGAAGGUAUGUUUUUUUGGUACUUGGCCAGGGAAAUCAUAACUCUUAAAAUGCUCCGUAGCCCUAACCAUACAAUUGGAUUUAUGGACAGAUAUUAUGUUCCAUGUUUUGUUGUUUUCUCACUGUUUUAGUGUCUGGGAUUGAUGCCAAAGGCCAUUCAGCCUCACUCCAUUUAUUAAAUUAGAGUGUACAACUAAGUUUACACAAUGGAGUUUAGAUGGGAAAAGAAAGACCUUGUUUAUCAUUCUACUUAGGUAUCUUUACAUCAGCGAGAAAGGAAAGUAUUCCCUCUAAAAUAUCUCAGUGAAAUCUCCUGAGCAAUAGGGUAUCAUAGUUAACGGAAGUAAUUACCCGACGCCUGAGCCACAAGAACUCCUUGCUUUAUUCCAAAACAUCUUCUCUACUGCUGCCAAGGAUGCUUUGUCCCCUAAAAUUCAAAUCUGUGGCUUCCCUCCUUAAAGCCCUUCACUUGCUCCUGGUUCCUGCCCUUCAGGAUUAAUUCCAGACUCUGUCCAAUGGCAAACAGGCCUUCGGUGAUCUGACUGCCAACCUUAUUCUUAAAUCCUUUACGGUAGUCAUAUUAAAUUACUUGCAAUUCUCUGAAAAUGUCACUGCUUUCAUGCCCCUGCACUUUUAUUCCUGUUUUCCCCUCUUUCUGGAAUGCUCUAUUGCACUGUCUCAGCUCAGCGUCACUUCCUCUGUGACAUUUUGCCUGACUGUGCUCUGCCCCAGCGCCCUCCCCCUUCCUGGGAGAGGGGACCCUUUGUGCCCCAUCACAUAUACAUACUUGUUUCACUGCAUCUGUAACACAUUGUUGCACUUGUUUGCACAUGUGCCUCUCCUUGUCUUUUUCAAAGCUUUUUAGUCUGCAAACCCCAUUCACCAUCUUUUGGGAGCUGAUAUAUCCUUUUGAAGUUUUCAUCUUUCUUUAGGAACAUUGUAAUAGCCUUUCAGCUUGCCUGCCCCCCUCCAUGCUCACCUGCUCCCUGAUUUCACUCUCCAUGCCAUCUCCAGAGUACUGUAAGCUCAGUAAAUGAUGGAUGGUGUUUCAAAGGUCUGAUGGGGACUGGGUAGAAUUAGCCUCAGGGCACGAUUAACAUGGGUCUAAUUUAUUUCCUAUAUCAAGGUUGCCUUGACCCUAGCACUGCCAGGGGCUGUGAGAAACUAGGUGAGGAGUCAGGUGCAGACAGCCGCAACUUGCAUGGGUUGGGCGUUCAGGGGUGUGUUGCUGGGGCUUCCUUGGGGUCCUGGCUCAGAGUGGUAAUGAAGUCAAAAGACACUGUCCAGUGACCACAAGUCGUAGCAGAAUUCUUUGUUUGGAGCUGAGAGAGACGUACAGUGUGGGAAAUACAAAGAGCAACAGGAAUCAGUCGUUUCAAAAUAUAUCCCCUGAGAAUCUGAAAUUUCAAAAUACUGUGGUUUGUGUGUGAUUACUUGGAAUACAAAGUAAUUCCUUUGCCACUGUAUUUGUUAAAGGGUUUUGAGACAUUUUCUAAAAGAAAACAGUGAUUCAGAAUGUAUAAAUUCGUAUUUCUGCCAACAAAAUUGAUCUGAUGGGUUAGAAGUGAUGGCUCAUUGUCGCUUUAGUUUGUGUCUUCCUGAUUGCUAGUAAGAUUAAGCAACUUUUCAUGUUUAUUUAUCAUUUAGAUUUGCUUUUCUGGAAAUGCUUGUUCACACAGUCUUUGCUCAUUUUUCUACCGAGUUUUCCUUCUUCCUAUAAAUUUGUAGGUGCUUGUUAUAUACUAUAGAUAUUAACCUUUGUCUUAUGCAUUAGAAAUAUUUCCCACAAUCUGUUGUAAUAUUUUUCUUUUGUUUAUGGUAUCUUUGACCUAAACAUUUUAAAUAAAUGUCUCUUUUCCUUUACAACUCUCUGGCUUACUGUGUCAGUUGAAAAUGUUUCCCUGACUCCUAGUGUAUAAAGUUAUUCUCAAAUUUUAUUCUACAAUAGUUUUUCACCUUUUGCUUUUAAUUCAUAUGGAAUUUAUUUUUGAAUAUGGAUUAAGGUAGGAGUCUGAUUUUAUUUUCCUUUAGAGGCUAUGUUAAAAUCUUGCUUGUACUAAGAUACAUUUUGAGACUCUCCAUUCUAAUGAUCUAAUUAUUUUUCCAAAUAACCAAGUUAGGUAACAUUCAUUGGGCAUAUCUGUGCCAAAUACUGUCCUAAGCACUUUACAUAUUUCAGCUCAUUUAAUCCUGGCAGUAACAUUGUAGGUCAAUUUUAUUAUUCCACAUGAACUUUAAAAUGCUUUCAUCAAAUAAAAAGAAACCCAUCGGGAUUAUGAUUAGAAUUACAUUAGAUUUAUACAGUAAUUUGGGGGAAAUUAACAUGUUUUGUAUCCUUCAAUAAUAUUUUGUAAAUUUUAUCAUAUGUCUUAAACCUGUCUUGUCAAAUUUAGCCUUAAGUAUUCUGUACUUUUAUCAGUGUUAGAAAUGGAAUAUAUGUUUUUUUCAUUUUCACUUCUCUCUGGCUAUUCCUAUAAGCAUUCUUACCGAUGCAGUAAGAAUAGUGUGUCUGUUAUGCAGCUUAGGGUCAAUUAUGCCGCAGUGGCAAGCUGAACUCUUGGUAGUAUAGAACAACAAAUAAUUUUCUGCUCACUCUACGUGCCCACCACAAGCUGGCAGCAUCUCCUUCACAUCAUCUUCACCCUGGGACCCAGGCUAAUGGAGUAACUGCUGUCAGGCACAUUGCAGCCUUGGCGUAGAGAGAAAGGAAUCAAGGGACAGCGUCUUCUGGCUCAUAAAGCUUCUACAAAGAAGUGCCCCAUGUCACACCCCUCCCCCCCUUAUGUUCUUAAGCCAGAGCAAAGCACAAGCCCAUAUCUGACACUGAAGUGUCAAGGAUGCAUAAUCCUCCCACGGGGAAGGGCCCUUCAAGUCACAAUACCAAGCCUGACGUCAGUGGGAUGGAGAUAAGUAAUAUUCCAACACGAAGGGCAGCAAAUGUUUUGAUCAGUAAUACAAUCUAUCACAGUGUUUUGUUUUUACAUUGGCAAGAUUGAGAAAUCCUAGAAAAUGAAACUUAGGUAAUAGAUAUCACUGUUCAACAAUAUCCAGUCCCUGUCUCCUUCCAAGUUUGCAAGAUUAUACUUUCUUGUCUCUUAAAAUUAUACACAGCCAUCUGACUAAUCCUGGCCAGUGAAAAUAUGAGUGGAACUGAUGUGUUUCACUUUGCAUGGAAGCACUGAGGAGUUGGAGCAUGAUUCCCCACGUUAUCUUCCCUGCCAUAUUGGUUGUGGAAGUAUGUGUUGAUGCGGAAGUACCAAAAGACCAAUGUAGCUAGAAUGCUGGGCCAUUGUAUAGAAGACAGUUAGGCCACCCAGGUGAAGAGCUUAUGAUUUUAAGUUCUGAGAUUUAAGGGGUUUUAUUUGUUUUUUGGUUUGUUUGUUUUAAUGCAACAUAGCCUAGCCUAUCCUGACUAAUACAACAUACCUAUUUUACAUAUUUUAACAAAAAACGUGUGUGUGUGUGUGUGUAUUCAUUGAUCCAUAUUGUUAUGUAGGACAAAGUUCUUUAAGGAUUGGUCCAGUGAUUUGGAUGCCAUAAUAUGGCAUAAACCACAUUCAUAAUGCAUCCUGUACAGUUUCCAGUUUGGAUUUCUCUACCAUGGAUCAAGAACUUUAAAAUACUUGGAGAAAAAUAGAAAUACAGAAUCUUACACCUUCCCCUUAAUCUUUUAUAAUUGUCACACCCAAACCAACAGCAUUUUUUGUAACUUUGUUUAAUCUUUCUAAAGCAGACAACUUAGUUUUCAUAAAAACAAUUCAUCCUUUUCACAUUAUUGUUUAUUGGAUUCAGUAAUAUUUCUUUAAAUUACUUAUUUAUAAUAAUAGUACAACUGUCGUAAAAAUGUUUAGGAGCAAGCACAACUGGAUAUUAGUAAGUGUACAGUCAACUGGUGAAAGUGGAAUAAAUGGUUAUUUCACAAGGUGAGAACAUUUAUCGUGCUGUAGCUAAUAAUCUGUAGGUUUUACAGAUGAAAUUGAGAGCCUCAUAAGUCCCAAGGGUCAUUUAAAGAGAAGUGAAUUAAGAGAGCUUCUGUACUCUUUGUACUAUAUUUCUAUGCAUGCAGGUACUAAUUUGUAUAUGUAUGUGUCUCUGUCUGUUUUAUUUAUCUUGUGUCCAGCCACAUUACUGAAUUAUCUUAUUAAUUCUAGUAUGCUUUUUUUCUUUGUUUGGCCGUGCCCCGUGGCAUGUGAGAUCAAUCAGAAAUCGAACCCACAACCCCUGCAUUGGAGGUGGGGUGGAGUCUUAACCACUGGACUGCCAGGGAAGUCCCUUUUUUUUUCUUUUUUAAAAAUUUUUUGUAGUAUGCUCUUUUUAAAAAAACUUUUUAAUAAUUUUAUUUUUUUAUACAGCAGAUUCUUAUUAGUUAACUAUUUUAUACAUAUUGGUGUGUACAUGUCAAUCCCAGUCUCCCAAUGCAUCCCACCACCACCACCCCACCACCCGCCGCUUUCCCCCCUUGGUGUCCAUAUGUUUGUUCUCUACAUCUGUGUCUCUAUUUCUGCCUUGCAAACCGGUUCAACUGUACCAUUUUUCUAGAUUCCACAUAUAUGCGUUAAUAUAUGAUAUUUGUUUUUCUCUUUCUGACUUACUUCACUCUGUAUGACAGUCUCUAGGUCCAUCCACGUCUCUGCAAAUGACCCAAUUUCGUUCCUUUUUAUGGCUGAGUAAUAUUCCAUUGUAUAUAUGUACCACAUCUUCUUUAUCCAUUCAUCUGUCGAUGGGCAUUUAGGUUGUUUCCAUGACCUGGCUACUGUAAAUAGUGCUGCAGUGAGCAUUGGGGUGCAUGUGUCUUCUUGAAUUAUGGUUUUCUCUGGGUGUAUGCCCAGUAGUGGGAUUGCUGGGUCAUAUGGUAAUUCUAUUUUUAGUUUUUUAAGGAACCUCCAUACUGUUCGCCAUAGUGGCUGUAUCAAUUUACAUUCCCACCAACAGUGCAAGAAGGCUCCCUUUUCUCCACACCCUCUCCAGCAUUUGUUGUUUGUAGAUUUUCUGAUGAUACCCAUUCUAAUGUAGUAUGCUCUUUUUAAAAGCAUUAUCUUGCAGUCUCUAAAUAGGUUAUCAGCAAAAGAUAAUUUAAUUUCUCUUUCAAUUUUAUGUUGUUUCCUUUUCUUACUGCACUUGUUACAACCUCCAAAACGAGUAAAUAAUGGUGUAAAUAAUGGUGAUAGUAGGUAUUAUGAUUCAGGUCCGUCUAACUGAAUUUUGGUCAAAAGAAUGUGGGUGGAAAAGAUUUACCACACUUCCGGUCUUACCUCAGCCUGCCAUGUGGUUCUCCACUCUGUCUUCCCUUCUCUGCCAUUCAGAUGCAAAGGACUUGGUGGAGAAUUCUGAGGUCCUCGAAGAUGGCAGAGCCACUGAUGGAAAUAUCCUGGGUCUCUGAAUAACUGUCUGUAGGAGAGCUGCAUUGCUGACCCACACUGGAUUAUGAUGUGAUGAGAAAUAAUUUAUUAUGUGAAGCCACUGAGGUUUGGGGCUCUUUGUAAGAUAAGCUAGCCUAUGCUAGUAGUACAUCUUCUAAUAAGAUUUUAGGUAGAGUUUAUAUUUGGAAUGACUGCUCACCUUUUUCAGAUGGCUUUUAAUCAUCUAUUUAUAUAAGCAUUUUCUUCAUUAAUUUGCUGGUGCAAUGAAUUAUGUUGACAGAUUUCUUAAUAUUGAACCAGCCCUGUAUCCCUGGAAUAACCCUACUUGGUUGUAAUACAUUUUUCUUUUGUUAUUCCAAAAUACUCUAUUUCCUAAGAUUUUAUUCAGAAUUUUUGCACUAGUAAUCUUAAGUGAGGUCAUUCUAUAUUUUCUUUCAUUGUACUGUUUUUUAAAAAAUCAGAUUAAGAUUUUGCUGGCUUUAUGCAAUCAAAUGUGUAGCUUUCAGGUCUUUUUCUAUGGUUUAGAAUAAUUUUUAAAACUUUGAACUAUCUGGUCCUGAUGUAUGAAAAAGAAGUUUUAAAUUAUCCCCUUAUAUUUAUAGUUGUACUCAAUUUCUCUGUAACUUAAAUGUAUUAUUUUGUUUUGCCUGUUUUUAACCCUUGUAAUAACAAAAUCGUAAGGUAUAUUCAUCAUUCAUCCGAGACUUCCAGUUUUUACUCAGCAGUGUUUUUGGAAUACAUCCAUGUUGAUAUACAGUUGAUUCAUUUUUAUUAUUGUAUAAUAUUUCAUUGUAUAGACACACCAUUUUAAAAACUCUAUUCUACUGGUUCAUUGGAUUAUUUCCACUUUUUGCUAAUAUAAAUAGUGGUAAUAUAAUUUUUCUGUACAAGUCUGUUGGUGCAAGAGUUUCUCUACCAGGAGCUGAAUUGCUACAUUGUAGACUUACAGCUACUAGAUAAUACCAAAAUGUUAACCAAACUGGUUGAAGUAAUUUACAUUCCAGCUAAUAAACUUUCUGUUUCUCCACAUUCUUGCCAGUAUUUGGUCUUAAUCAACUUUUGCAUUUUUCUCAGUCUGUUGGGUACAAAAUUAUAUCUCAUUGUGGUUAUAAUUUUCAUUUUCAUAUCUACUUUUGAAAUUGAGUGUAUUUUCACAUUAUUGGCCAGUUCAUGUUUUCUUUCCUAUGAAAUGCCUGUUCACAUCUUCUGCUCAUUUGUCUAUUAGUUUGUCUUUUUUUAUUGAUCUGUAGGUCAGCUGUAGGUUUUUGAUAAACAUUCUUAAAUAUAAUUAAACUUAUCGAUAUUUUCCUUCAGAAAUUUUCAGAGUUACCUUUCACAUUUUUUUACAUGUCCCUAAUGUAACUGUAAUUGUAUACACAUACAGAAAUAUACAUAACACAUAUUGGGUGAGAUAAGGAUCUAAUUUCUUUUAUUUUCCCCUUAUGUAUUAUCCCAGCUCUUUUCAUACUGAGAAAUCCAUCAUUUUCUCCACUCGUCUGCAAUGCUAGCUUUGCCAAAUAUCUGUUUCUGGGUUUCUGGGUUCUCUUUUCUGUUCUAUUUGUUAGUUUGUCUAUCUCUGCAAGUUCUGUAUUGUCUUAAUAACUAUAGCAUUUUUUAAAAUUAAUUAAUUAAUUUUAUUUAUUUAUUUAUUUUUGGCUGCGUUGGGUCUUCGUUGCUGCCCACAGGCUUUUUCUAGUUGGGGUGAGUGGGGGCUACUCUUUGUUGCGGUGCGCGGGCUUCUUAUUGUGGUGGCUUCUCUUGUUGCGGAGCACGGGCUCUAGGCGUGCGGGCUUCAGUAGGUGUGGUGCCCAGGCUCAGUAGUUGUGGCUCGUGGGCUCUAGAGCGCAGGCUCAAUAGUUGUGGUGCAUGGGCUCAGUUGCUCCACGGCAUGUGGGAUCUUCCUGGACCAGGGAUCGAACCCAUGUCCCCUGCAUUGGCAGGCGGAUUCCUAACCGCUGCACCACUAGGGAAGUCCCAACUAUAGGUUUAUGAUAUGUCUUGAUCUAUGAUAGGACAAGACUUUCUACUUCCUUCUUUAGAAGUAACUUGUCUAUCUUUGGCACUUUGCUCUUUCAUUUAAAGUUGAGUUAGUUAAAGAGGUUAUUUGGAUUUUUAUUGAAUCUUUAGAGUUUGGGGAAGAUUGACAACUUUAAUGGAAAAGAUGGAACUUCUUCAUUCAUACAGUAUAUUCUUCAUUUACUUAGGUGUUUUUACAUAUAUUUCCAUAAGAUUUUAUAGCGUUCAACAUGAAGUUUCUUAAAUAUUUGUGUUGGAUUUAUUCCUAGAUAUCUUAUUUUUUGUGCUAUUCCCAAUGGUAUCCUUUUAAAGUUAAAAUUUGCAGCUAUUUUGCUGGUAUAUAGAAAUGCAAAGAAAUGCAAUUAAGUUUUGCCUUUGACCCUAUAUCUAGCAACCUUGAUAAAUUUUCUUAUUUCUUAUAAGAAAUAAGAUUCUUUGAGUUUUCUACAUAGGCAGUCAUUUAACUUGUAAAUAAUGCUAAUUUGGUUUCUUCCUUUCCAGUCCUUAUACCCCUUUGUUAUUUUUCUUGAUGCUCUGCAGUGACUAGAACUCCAGCACAAAGUUGUCAGGAAUGGUAAUAGCUUAUCUCCUUGUCUUAGUCCUUAUUUUUAAAGGAAAUGCUUUUAACGUUUUUACUGUGGAGUAUUAUAUUUGCUGGAGAUGUUUUUGUAGAUAUCCUUUGUUAGGUAGGCUAAGGAUGUUCUAUUCCUUUUUAGCUAUGAGUUUUCCAUUUGUUUGUAUUAUAAAUGCCUUGUAAAAUUUUUUUGAAUGCUUUUUUUAACCUCUUUUGAAAUGACCUUGUUGUUCUCCUCUUUUAAUCUGUUAAUAUGGUAAAUUACAUUAAUAAAUUCUCUAAUGGUGCAACAAUUUUCCAUCCUCGAAAUAAACCCAACUGAUCAUUAUUUUCUUAUAUAUAUAGUUGCUAAUGUUUUGUUUAAGAUUUUUGCAUCCACAAUCAAGAAUGAAGUUGGACUGUAACUUUUUUCUUGUCUGUUUUUGUAUAAAGUUAUACUAGACUCAUAAAAUUAGUUAGGAGAUGUUCCUCCUUUUAUAUUCUCUGAAAGAGUUUAAGAUUGGAAUUAUCCAUUCCUCGAAUCUUGGUACGUCUGCCUAUAAAACUGCCUGGCCCUGGUGUGGGAAAAAUUUUCUCUGUGGGAAAAAUUUUAACUACUGAUAAAAUUUUAUGAAUGAUUAUAGGCUAGGUGGUAAUCAAAUUACUUAACCAAUUAGGAUGGUUACACUAAUCAAUCAGAAAUGACCCUGGCCCUAAGCAAACUGUAUGAUCAUACAGUUGCAUAUAAGCUAAGUAUCAGCCCUUAUAUUUUAAAUUUCAGAUUUAAAAUUUCUUCUUAAGUCAGUUUUUUAAAUUUAUGUUGCCAGGAAUUUCUCCAUUUUACUUAAGUUUUAAGAUUUAUUGCUAAAUUGCUUGUAAUGUUUUAUCUGGGUAAUUUCUGUUAUAUUUUUGACUUCCUUUUCCAUUCUUAAAAUUUUACCUGCUUUUUCUCUUUCUUCAUUAAUUUGCUAAAGGUUUGUCAGUUUUAUUAAAAUUUUGUCAAUGAGCCAACAUUUUGCUUUGUUGAUCCUUUCUAUUGAAUGUGUUUUCUGUUUUGUUAAUUUUUGCUCUUAUUUUUAAUUAUUUCCUUUAUUCAAUUCUAUUUAGAUUUGGGGGGUUCUUUUUGUAAUUUCAACUUUUUUAUUAAUGUAAGUAUUAUAAAGCUAUUCACCUCCUCCAUCUACCACUUGAGCUGUAUCUCACAAGCUUUCCUAUAUAAUCAUUAUUGUCGGUUCUAAGUAUUUUCUAAUUUCGCUUUGCUUUUUCUUUUGUCCCAUGAACAAUUUAGAUUUGUGCUUUUAAAUUUCCAAGUGUUUUUGUUUUUGUUAUUAAUUGUGUAAUGGUCAGAGACUGUGGUCUAUGAGAUAGUGAUUCUUUGACAUUCGUUGAGAUUUUCUCUGUGUGCUAGUAUAUUGUCAGUUUUUAUAAUUGUUCCUGUGAACAGAAGUGUAUUCUCUAGUUACUGGGUACAGGCAUCUGCAUAUGUUCAUUAGACCUGGUUUGUUUCUUGUGAUGGUCAAAUCAUUCAUAUUCUUACUGAUAUUUUUAUCUUGUCAACUUCUGACAAAGACUUGUUAAAUUCUACCUCAGUAAUGGUGUAUUUGUCCGUUUCUUUUUCUUGUUUUGUCAUUUUUUGCUAGAUAUUUUUUGAAGCUAUGCUAUUAGAAGUAUGCAAGUGUAGAAUUGUUUCCAUCUCCCUAAUGAAUUGGACCUUCCUCAAUAAGUAAUGAACCUCUAUCUCUAGUAUUGCUUUUUACCUUAAGGUAUUUUUUACUUAUCUGAUAAUAUAUUCACACAAGUUUUCUUUUGGUCAGUAUUUAUUAAAUGUCUUUCUAUCUUUUUACUUUCAACUCGUUUAUGAACUUAUUUGUUUUAUGUCUCUCUCAUAAACAACAUGUAGCAAGAUCUUGCUUUUUAUCCAAUCUGAUAAAAAAUUUGGUCCACUUACCCUUAUUCUUAUUUUAAUAUAUUUGGAUUCCAUUUCUACCAUAUUUUAUGAAUUCUGUUCUACUUUUUCUAUAUUCUUUUUUUAUCUCCUUGAAUUUUUUUUUGGAUUAAGUUUCAUGUUUUAUUUUUGUCUUAUCUGUUUUCUCUUAAUCUGUUUUUUCCCUUUAUUUGUUUAGCACUUAUACCUUUGGUUUUUUUAUAUUUUACGGGAUGUCCUAGACUUUUUAAUAUAUGUGUAUGUGUAAUUAAGUAAAGUGUAUAACUAAUCAAAUGUGUAAUUUAAUGUCUUAAGUUAGUGUUUUACCCUCUUGAGCAAAGUACAGAUGUUUGAAUGCCUUAUUUCUAUUAUCUCCUUCCUACUUAUAUGCCAUUUUUUACUAGCAUUUUGAUUCUAUAUUAUUUCUUAACCCCAUAAUUAAGUUAUUAUUACUGUUAUUUAACACAGCCAGUGAUUGUUUAGAUUUACCCAUGUAUUCAUCAUUUUCUUUGCUAUUUUGGAUCUCUGACCUUCUUUCUGGGAUGAGUUUUCUUCAUCCUGACAUACAUCCUAUAGAAAUUUCUCUGGACCUUCUUCCUUUGACCCCUCGCAGCAUGAGGCUGUGGACUGCCCCCUGAGGAGCACUCUACUAAGAACUUCCAGAUCGUUCAGUGAGACUAUAGCAGAAAGGAACCGAGGACCGUAUUUCUAUUAACCUGGACCUAGAUGAAGGAUGUGUGGUGCUUGCUGGAGGGCCCAAUGUCACUGACAACUGACAAUUAGAAAGUUACUGCCUGAGUCUUUGAUGGUCCAGCUCAAGUUGCUACUUUGGAGGUUGGGGUCAAGAAUCGACAUUAUACCUAAGAGAAACAGCCCUUCAUAAUAACAAAGAAUAGAAAGCAACAGAAAUGCCCAUCAACAGAAGAAUGUAUGGAAAAAUUACACAGCUGAGAAAAUGAAUGAACUCCAGCCCCUUGUGAAAAGCAUGGACGAACCUAAGGAAUGUGAUGCUCAGUGAACAAAAGCCUGCCACCCUUUUCAUCAAGUCCAAAUCUAACUAACACUAAGCAAUCAGUUCUUCCAUGGGGGAAAUGAAGCAUUCACAUGGGGAAGAUGAAUCCUUAAUCACGCAGAAUGAUGAUCUGUGACUCCCUAAUUCAUCACUAAGAGAUUCUACCCUCGGCUUAGAAGUGAAGGGGGAUUUGGGACAGGACUGUACUCAGAAAAAGUGUGACGUCUCCUGCUUUCAGAGGAGGACAGAGCCGGGCAGCAGUGGCAGGUGAUGGAAAGCCUGGCCGGGGAGGCGGGGAAGCAGGCGCCAGUGUUGGGUCCCCACCUGCUGGCCACAUCCCUGCUCCUCCUUAAGUCCUGCGUCCUUGUCACUGAAGUGACAGGCUCCACCUAGGUCACCUCCAAAGCCCUCGCCAUCCCAGAGGGCCUAAUUCACAAGUCGUCCGUUUCUGCAGGCUGUUUGCUGGGCACAUCAUUUGUACAGAGGAGAGGAAUUCCACAGACCGUCAUGAAGCCAGCUCAGCUCUUCAGCCCCGCUUCCUCCCGGUGGUGGAGCCUGGCUCUUGCCAAUUUGAGUAACUGGGUCACUUCCGGUUUAAACUCUGUUGCUUUGGGGUAAACCCUCCGUCAGCUCAGGACCCUCCCACUUCUCUCUUUCCCUUUCCUUCUCUCAGGAUUAAAUUGGGAUUAUGGGAGGCUUAUAUAAGGUUUUGUUAUGUCCGUGACAGGGUGGAGAGCAAGAGCUGGUUGUGUCUGUUCCAUGGUUGUCUUUGGCCUCCAAUGAGCUGGGACCCGCCCCCUGGUCCAGAGUGUUGCCCUCGGACCCUGCCGACGGCGAGGCUCCUCCCGGCCCCCUCCCCGGUUGUGGUGCCCAGCACGUGGCUCCCCUUUCCUUUGGUCCUUCUGUGCAUCCCAUGCUGGGGGGCGGGUGUAGCUGGGAGACUUCGGCGGUCUCGCUCGGGAUCGUGCUCUAGCUGAGGGAGCGGGGAGCCCUCCCUCAUGCCUAGGUGCCGGACCUGAACAGAGACACCCGCUAAACUUCUCAGGGAUCUCCAUCAGGGCUUGUUUUGCUGGAAGAUGCUGCGCUCGUCUCAGGAGCUCGUCAGCAUCUGGACCCCAGCUCCACUGCUUCUGAGUCUCCUUCCCAGCCCUGACCCCACUGAACUCAUCUUGGUUGGAAAAACAUUUCUGAUGUUAUCCUGACUCUCCUCGCCCCUGAUUUAUUUAUGGCGUAAUUUAUUUAUGAUAUAAUACAUGCUGGGAGGACGAGGGAGCCACUUGGGAACAUGAAGAGCCAUCCAAGUUCAUGCUCAAGCGAACUUAGGUGAAAAGAAAGAUAAAUCCAUAUAUAGUUGAUUAAAAUAUUUAUAAAGACACAGGUUACUUAUCUCAAAACCUGAGAAAGGUCAGAAAUGACAGACGAGACAGUGGGGUGGAAUGAAUCUGGGUCACAAAUUGCGAUCCAAGGAGAAGGAGGGAGAAGAGGAGGGUGGGGACGCUUGGCAGUGUACGGGAGAGGAGGCCCAGGACCGAGGUGGCUUAGGUGCCUGUCCACAGGCUGGAGGUGGAGGUGAAGGUCAGGUGCACGGCUUGGGGGUGGGGCGGGCCCAGAAAAUACCCAUGAGCAGAACAAAGCUGACCGAGGAGGGUCAGGGGAAGAUGGAGGACGCAAGGAGGAGCAGCUGGGGGAAAGACCUGAGCAGGACGGUGCUGAGCUCGCCUUGAUUAGAUGACUGUGGAGAAACGGUUACAGCCGGGGACGUCCUGGAGACCUUGGUACGUGACAUACCGGAGAGGAGAGGCCCGGGCGUGUGCUGGAGCAGGCGUGUGUCAGGAGGCAGUGAUGGGAGGAGUGGCGAGCUGGGCUCGGUGCGAGGAGAAGGUCGGGGUGCUUCCCGUGAAAGCGUGUAAGUCAGGCAGCCCUCUGCCACUCCACCUCUGGGCUUGCAGUGCUGAGAGCGGAGCCGGGACACCGCUGUCUCACCUCUCUUGCAUUUAAUGUAGAAUGUGAAAUUUACAAUUCUCUUUAAAGCACUGACCAGAGAACGUGGUUUACGCAGCACAAGAGAGGAGCAUGGGAUCCGGAGCCUCCCGAACUUGGAUUAAAAUCCUAGCUCUGUAGAGAAAAUGUGGUGUAUGCAUACAAUGGAAUAUUGCGGAGCCUUAAGAAGAAAGGAAAUUCUGACUCAUGCUACAACACGGAUGGAUCUUGAGGUCAUUAUGCUAAGUGAAACUAGUCAGUCACAGAAAGGAAAAUACUAGGUAUGAUUCCACUUAUAAGAGGUGUCCAGUGUACUCAAACUCAUAGAAACAGAAAGUAGACUCGCGGUUGCCAGGGACUACAGGGAGGGGGGAGGGGGAGUUAUUGUUCAAUGGAUUCAGAGUUUCAGUUUUGCAAGGUGAAAACAUUCCAGAAAUCUUUUGCACAGUAUAUGAACAGAGUUAACACUACUGGACUAUACCUUCAAAAUAGUUAAGAUGGUAAAUUUUAUGUUACGUGUUUUUAGCACCACCAACCAUAAAAUUUUUGAAAUCCUAGAUCUUCUGGUCUCCUAGUGGCUGUGUGACCUUGACCUUGUACAAGCCAGCUAAUUUCUUAGAGUCUCGGUUUCCUCAUCUGUAAGAUGGGCAUAGAACACCCACCUCAUAAAGACAUUCUAGGACUAAAUAAAAGCAUGUAUGUGAAGCUCCGAACGUAGCACCUAGCACAUCAAAGGUGUUCACGUUUCAUUUAAAUUAAAUUAGUUCCCCUACUAUCAAAACCUGGAUGGUUUUCUUUUAAGGACCUAGACCUACUAGGUCUAGGCCUUUAGUGGCAUAUCGUAGUGCAGCCUCCACAAUACUGAGGAUGAAAUAGUUAACAGGAAGCCCCCUGAACUCUUAUUCCUAAAGAUUUGUGAUACACUACACACCAAGUGUCCCAGCAUCCCUGUUCUCGAUCAGAGGAGGGUCCCAAAUAAAGAGGUCACUCUUCCCAUCAGAAGAAGCUGAAUACAAUCUCUUCUGACACAAACUGGGCAGAAACCAAACACCACUGUCCAGAACCAUGGGUUUUCAGACUUUCUGGUAGAGAAACCCUUUGCAAAGCAGCAGUCAGUAGUAGCAGGCAUUUGGGUGAGCCCACGGCAGAGAACAAAUCUCCUUAGGAAUAUUAUUACUGAGUAUUUACCGCAUAAAGUGAAAUCUGAGCAAGUCCCAUGCAGAGACAUGAGACCAACGUGGAAUAAGCUUAGGAGAACACCGAACCUGAAAACCCGAGAUGUAGAGGACUUCAGACCAGAACGUUCUCUGAGCCACCCCUGGCUAGAGAGUUUUUCUUACCCUUCAGGGAGAAGAAUUUGGGAGUUUAUGCCAAAACUCCUUUCUAUAUCAUGUACAGUUUGUUGCAGCAAGUUGUAAGUUAUCUAGAAAUACCUGCAUGGGUCUUAUUUCGUAGUGUGGGUUCAAGCAUUCUCGACACUUCCUUCUGUCAUCUUCAUAAAGUCCUGGGUCCCAGACAGCUGCCAGCUGUUAUUACAGCAAGAUACCUGCACAGGGUGGACCCCUUCUGACUCUUGCAGUUAAAAUCCUGGUGCCUGGAGUUUCCAGGUAAGCAGUAACCCUCACACAAUGUUGUCUGGGUGUGCAGCCUGUAACAAUAGUGCACCACACCCAGAAAAACAAUAUGCCAAAAUAUUAAACUCUCCUACUCAGGCGCUAUGUCACGUAGGCCAUGCAUCUUAAGAUGUCAGAGCCCUUGAGAGGGUCAGUCAGACUGAUUUGAUACUUUCCUAUUGCUCUCAACUUUCUCAGGCUGUUUCUUUUUUUUUUCUUUUAAGGUAUUCCAUGGCUUGGCCCCACCUUGAGUGACAGCAUGGUGAAGGGGAUAGAGCAAGGGGCUUUGGCAUCAAGGCCGCAGUGAGGUGAGAUCCCAUCUCUACCUCCUUUAAUGGCUGUGUAAGCUGAUCCUAUUACUUAAUUUUUUGUAGCCUCAGAAUUCCUCCUCCGUGGAGUAGAAUUUUCUAGAAGCUACCUCAAGUUUAUGGAGAAAAGAGAGAUGGUGUAGCUGAAGGGUAAGGGCUGCUGCCUGGUCCAUAGGAGCUGCUCCCUGAGUGUUAGCUGCUGCCCCCCUCUCCCCCCACCCAUGUUGCCCUCUCAUUUCCCCUGAUUCUGAAUCUUGUUUCAUCCUUUCUAAUCCCGGAACCAGCCCUGAGGCCUUCAGCUCUUUCUCUGAUGAAGACUUUCAUUCCUGGACGCUCCCAUCCCCCCACACACUCCAACUACCUGAUAAACAGCCUCUAAUAGUCACGAAAAGUUCGUUUCUUCCCUCUUUACACACACUCUCCCCUCACCAGUUACUUCUCCCUCUUCAGAAGAAGGCUGACCGGGCCCUUCACUUCGGGCUGUGCCCACUUCCGAGUAUGUGACCCGUUGCUGACACGUCAGCGUUUCUCUCAUCUGGCCCCUCUUGGGACCUAGAUCUUUUUCAUCACACUUCCCAUCAUUUGUUUUGUGUUCCCAUCCUGUGUGUGUGUGUGAGAGGGAGAGCACGUGUCUUUUCUCUCUUCAAUGCCCGUACCCCCUUUUCACCCAGACUCCGCACCCCAUUUGUCGUCAGAGGCCCAGCAGGACAGGUCGGCCCCUACGUGAGCUCUGGCCUGCCCCUCCUUCCAGCUCAGCAUCCUGCUUGGAACUUUCUCCCAAGCAGACGCUGCUAAUUAACUCGGCCUGAACCCCGGUCUCAGGGCUACGUGUUCACAUGAAAGGGCUGUUGAGACCACAAGGACCUCCCUGCUUCCUGCAGAGGGAAGAUCAAUCUCUCCUUUCCCUUCAACUUAUAGUCAACUUUCUCCAGGAAGUGGCUGUUCCUUAUUUUAUACUAUGUCAGAGGUAGCAGUUCAAUCCUGGAGUUUCUAUUAGAGAAGUUGCAUGGAGGGUUUCAACAAGUGUUCCAAAGCAGGUUCUUUUCCCUUGGUCCUGCUCGGUGAAUUACGUCUGGCUCAUGUACAUCCUGUUAAUUUAAAGCGUGUCUCUGUGAUCUGCAAUUUCUCCUCAUCAAUACCGUUGAGGACCAAGCAGUCUGCAGAGUUUAUUUGUUCUAUCUUAUGCUAAAAACAAAAACAUGGAACUGUUUGUGACCGAGGCCUGCUCUGAUGUUUGGAAACCACACGAUGGGCUGUUGGUCCCCUGCAGCGAGUCCUGGUAGAGCUGUGGGGAUAGCUGAGGGGGUCUGAUAAAACCCAGGGCCUGGCACCCUGCAGCUUUUAAAGAGUGAGCUGAGACACGCUGCUGUUAGGAGACGCAGGAGUGCGGCUUGUUUAUCUCCACUUUCUCCAUGGACAUCUCUGGACACAUAGGGUUGCUGUUUUGUUUUGACUGAUUUGGAUUUUUUUCCCCUCACGGUUAAAAGAGCAAACAAGCUUUAAAAAUGACCUAAUCGUUGUCCAGGGUGACUUCAUGGGAAGUCACCAACCUCCCCAGAAUGCAGAGUUGGAGCAGGGCUGGUGCCAGGAAAGGAGAUUUGGAAUUCAGAAACUUUGAAGCCCUGUAAACAGCCAUGGAAGUAUUGCUGAUUUUCAACCUUGGUUCCAUGUUAGAAUUACUUGGGAAGCUUAUAAAAACCCCAAACCAGGCCACGCCCCAUAACGACAUCAGAAUCUCUGUGGGCAGGACCUAUGCCUCUGGAUUUUUCUGAAGAUCCCCAGAAUGGAAUAACGCAAUGGAGACGUGCAGGUGAUGACAGGGAUUGGCUGGAGUCAGGAGGAGAGGGAAGACGAUCGUUUCCACAAGUCACUGUGAAGCCAGAUACGUCUUGAUCUUUCGAAGCUUGCUGAUAAUUCUGCCCACAGAUAGUCGUAGGAACCCAAGGACAAACAGCGAGACAAUUCACUGGACUUGGGGCCACAAGGCAGGUGUAUUGAAGGGAAUGGGUCAUGGGCGGAACAUACUUAGACAUACUUAGUGGGGUGAGAGGAAAAGAACCUUUCUGAUGCUAGAGAUUCCAGGGGAGGAAGGGAGGUUUCCGAGGUCGUCUCUGUGGCAGGAGGACAUUUGUGGAGUGUAGGGGGAGGACACAGGUGCAGCCUGAGAGCGAACGCAACCAGAGCAAUCCCACACCCGAUGAGGGGUGCAUUUAUAUUGGGGUCCCACGCCUGACAACCCCAGGAAGUGGCCCUUUGCCCGUUCAUCAUAAAGUGAACCCUGUGGGGAGUGGAAGAUGAGUUUAGAACAGUGUCAGCCCAGCAGGCCUCAGGAGACGUGGCUGACUGACUGCAUCGAUCUAACUCCAGGAGAGGGGAGCUCCCGCAUUUUGGGGGGCCCUAUGCCCCGCAAGUCUGUGAAGAGGGUGUAUUUAUACCUAUUGUCCUAAAUGAACUAGAGGCAAAGGAGCCGAGUGAUGACCCUGAAAAGUGGGCUGGCAUUUGCAGCUACAUGGAUGGACCUAGAGAUUAUCAUACUAAGCGAAGUAAGUCAGACAAAUACCAUAUGAUAUCACUUAUAUGUGGAAUCUAAAAUAUGACACAAACGAACUUAUCUACAAGGCAGAAACAGACUCACAGACAUAGAGAACAGACUUGUGGUUGCAAAGAGGGAGGGGGCAUGGGGGGGAUGGAGUGGGAGUUUGGGAUUAGCAGAUGCAAACUAUUAUAUUGAUAUGUAAGAUGGAUAAACAACAAGGUCCUACUGUAGAGCAAGGGAACUAUAUUCAAUAUCCUGUAAUAAACCAUAAUGGAAAAGAAAAAAAGAGUGGGCUGGGACAUUUUCGACAGGCCCAAAGGUCCUGGAGACAGAAGGGGAUGUUCUUGGUACCUCUUGGAAGGAGAAAUGGCCAGUGAUUAGAUGCAAAGGAGAGGUUUUGGAAUAAAAUGGAUGUCCUUCCAAAUAACCCACCAGUAAAGAUUCUCUGGUCAGGUCCUCACAGAAGCAUUUCUAGGUAACUGUCACCCGUGCCAGGAAGGAAGACAGGAAGCAUGACUGUGGCCAUUUCCACGGCUCCCUCAAGCAUCCCCGACCACACACCUGGUCAUCUUUGGGCUGUGCCGGGUCUUAGCUGCUGCAUGUGGGAUCCUCGCCGCGCUGUGUGGGAUCUUUAGUUGCGACAUGUGGACCUCUCAGUCAUGGCAUGUUCUCCCAGUUGCGCAUGCAUGCGGGACCUUAGUUCCCCGACCAGGGAUCGAACCCAGCCUCCCUGCAUUGGGAGCACAGAGUCUUACCCACUGGACCACCAGGGAAGUCCCUGGAAAUGACGU